ACUCCUACGGGAGGCAGCAGUGGGGAAUAUUGCACAAUGGGGGAAACCCUGAUGCAGCCAUGCCGCGUGUGUGAAGAAGGCCUUCGGGUUGUAAAGCACUUUCAGUAGGGAGGAAGGUAGUGUAGUUAACACCUGCACUAUUUGACGUUACCUACAGAAGAAGCACCGGCUAACUCCGUGCCAGCAGCCGCGGUAAUACGGAGGGUGCGAGCGUUAAUCGGAAUUACUGGGCGUAAAGCGCAUGCAGGCGGCCUGUUAAGUCAGAUGUGAAAGCCCGGGGCUUAACCUCGGAAUUGCAUUUGAAACUGGCAGGCUAGAGUCUUGUAGAGGGGGGUAGAAUUUCAGGUGUAGCGGUGAAAUGCGUAGAGAUCUGAAGGAAUACCAGUGGCGAAAGGCGGCCCCCUGGACAAAAGCUGACGCUCAGAUGCGAAAAGCGUGGGGAGCAAACAGGAUUAGAUACCCUGGUAGC
rnacentral:rRNA from 1 species